rnacentral:rRNA from 1 species
UGCCAGCAGCCGCGGUAAUACGGAGGGUGCAAGCGUUAAUCGGAAUUACUGGGCGUAAAGCGCGCGUAGGCGGUUAGUUAAGUCAGAUGUGAAAUCCCCGGGCUCAACCUGGGAAUGGCCUCUGAUACUGACUAACUAGAGUUUAGAAGAGGGAAGUAGAAUUUCGGGUGUAGCGGUGAAAUGCAUAGAGAUCCGAAGGAAUACCAGUGGCGAAGGCGGCUUCCUGGUCUAAAACUGACGCUGAGGUGCGAAAGCGUGGGUAGCAAACGGGAUUAGAUA